AACGAACGCUGGCGGCGUGGAUUAGGCAUGCAAGUCGUACGCGAAAGAGGGAGUAAUCCCUUGAGUAGAGUGGCGAACGGGUGAGUAACGCGUGAGAAACCUGCCCUAAGCAGGGGGGAUAACACUCCCAACGGGGUGCUAAUACCGCAUGAGACCACGGGAUCGCAUGAUCCUGAGGUCAAAGGUGGCCUCUGCUUGCAAGCUACCGGCUUAGGAUGGUCUCGCGUCCCAUUAGCUAGUUGGCGGGGGUAAUGGCCCACCAAGGCGACGAUGGGUAGCUGGUCUGAGAGGAUGGUCAGCCACACUGGGACUGAGAUACGGCCCAGACUCCUACGGGAGGCAGCAGUCGAGAGGCUUCGGCAA
rnacentral:rRNA from 1 species